GGCAAAGCAAAGCAUGCUUCACCAAGUAUAAUCAAACCUUCUGUUCCAUCCUUUCUUCUUCAAAAUCAUUCAUCAAUGUCGACCUGCUCGUUCGGAGGCACCCGUGUCACAGGCAGGCUACGCUACAUUUCAGAACCCCAAAUCUUAGUCUUGUCCACAGAUGCAAAACAAUACAAUAGAAUCCCUUCCAACUGAUCCAUCUCUGUCGUCUCUACUUCACAACUCAGCGACAAUUAGUUGACAUCUUCAUUAGCUAAACCUCAACAACCUUGUAUUUCCUCCCUAGCCUUCUCAUCUUCAUUUUUUCAGGGCAAGAGAUUGUCUCAUCUUACCAACCCGUGUCCCUUCUUUGGCCUUCCGGUUUGAUUCCCCAUGUUUUCU
rnacentral:misc_RNA from 1 species